GAUGAAGAACGUAGCGAAAUGCGAUACUUGGUGUGAAUUGCAGAAUCCCGUGAACCAUCGAGUCUUUGAACGCAAGUUGCGCCCGAAGCCAUCAGGUUGAGGGCACGUCUGCCUGGGCGUCACAUAUCGUUGCCCAAUGCCUAUUGCAGUGCAAUAGGAAUUUCUAGGGCGAAUGAUGGCUUCCCGUGAGCGUUGUUGCCUCGCGGUUGGUUGAAAAUCGAGUCAUUGGUAGGGUGUGCCAUGGUAGAUGGUGGUCGAGUUAGAACGAUACCGAUCAUGUGCAUGCUCCCCAAAAUAUGGCCUCUAUGACCCACACGCGUCUUUUGACGCUCAUGACGAGACCUCAGGUCAGGCGGGGCUACCCGCUGAAUUUAAGCAUAUCAAUAAUCGGAGGA
rnacentral:misc_RNA from 1 species